CCUACGGGAGGCUGCAGUGAGGAAUAUUGGGCAAUGGGGGCAACCCUGACCCAGCAAUGCCGCGUGCAGGAGGACGCCCUUCGGGGUGUAAACUGCUUUUGUGGGGGAGCAGACAAGGAGCGUACCCCACGAAUCAGUCACGGCUAACUACGUGCCAGCAGCCGCGGUAAUACGUAGGUGGCGAACGUUAUCCGGAGUGACUGGGUGUAAAGGGUCCGUAGGCGGGGAUUUAAGUCUGACGUGAAAGCGCCCGGCUCAACUGGGCGAGUGCGUUGGAAACUGGCUCUCUUGAAUCACGCAAAGGUCGGCGGAAUUCCCGGUGUAGUGGUGGAAUGCGUAGAGAUCGGGAGGAACCUCGAAAGCGAAGGCAGCCGACUGGGUGAUGAUUGACGCUGAGGGACGAAAGCGUGGGGAGCGAACAGGAUUAGAUACCCCAGUAG
rnacentral:rRNA from 1 species